AUUGAACGCUGGCGGCAGGCCUAACACAUGCAAGUCGAGCGGUAGCACAGAGAGCUUGCUCUCGGGUGACGAGCGGCGGACGGGUGAGUAAUGUCUGGGAAACUGCCUGAUGGAGGGGGAUAACUACUGGAAACGGUGGCUAAUACCGCAUAACGUCGCAAGACCAAAGAGGGGGACCUUCGGGCCUCUCACUAUCGGAUGAACCCAGAUGGGAUUAGCUAGUAGGCGGGGUAAUGGCCCACCUAGGCGACGAUCCCUAGCUGGUCUGAGAGGAUGACCAGCCACACUGGAACUGAGACACGGUCCAGACUCCUACGGGAGGCAGCAGUGGGGAAUAUUGCACAAUGGGCGCAAGCCUGAUGCAGCCAUGCCGCGUGUAUGAAGAAGGCCUUCGGGUUGUAAAGUACUUUCAGCGGGGAGGAAGGCGGUGAGGUUAAUAACCGCGUCGAUUGACGUUACCCGCAGAAGAAGCACCGGCUAACUCCGUGCCAGCCGCCGCGGUAAAAC
rnacentral:rRNA from 1 species